GGAUUGCUGAGAAAUACUGUCUGAGGAUGGAUGGGAGACUCAUUUCAAAUGUCGUUCUGAGGUCC